rnacentral:rRNA from 1 species
UACGUAGGUGGCAAGCGUUGUCCGGAUUUACUGGGCGUAAAGAGCGCGCAGGCGGUCGUUCAAGUCGCGUGUGAAAGCCCCCGGCUCAACUGGGGAGGGUCACGCGAUACUGAUCGACUCGAAGGCAGGAGAGGGAAGUGGAAUUCCCGGUGUAGUGGUGAAAUGCGUAGAUAUCUGGAGGAACACCGGUGGCGAAGGCGGCGUUCGUGGACUGUUACUGACACUGAGGAACGAAAGCCAGGGGAGCAAACGGG